UGGGGAAUAUUGCACAAUGGGCGGAAGCCUGAUGCAGCGACGCCGCGUGAGGGAUGAAGGCCUUCGGGUUGUAAACCUCUUUCAGCAGGGACGAAGCGUGAGUGACGGUACCUGCAGAAGAAGCACCGGCUAACUACGUGCCAGCAGCCGCGGUAAUACGUAGGGUGCGAGCGUUGUCCGGAAUUACUGGGCGUAAAGAGUUCGUAGGCGGUUUGUCGCGGCGUUUGUGAAAACCCGGGGCUCAACUUC
rnacentral:rRNA from 1 species